CCUACGGGAGGCAGCAGUGGGGAAUUUUGGACAAUGGACGCAAGUCUGAUCCAGCCAUGCCGCGUGCGGGAAGAAGGCCUUCGGGUUGUAAACCGCUUUUGUCAGGGAAGAAACGGCUUUUUCUAAUACAGAGAGCUAAUGACGGUACCUGAAGAAUAAGCACCGGCUAACUACGUGCCAGCAGCCGCGGUAAUACGUAGGGUGCAAGCGUUAAUCGGAAUUACUGGGCGUAAAGCGUGCGCAGGCGGUUAUGCAAGACAGAUGUGAAAUCCCCGGGCUCAACCUGGGAACUGCAUUUGUGACUGCAUAGCUAGAGUACGGUAGAGGGGGAUGGAAUUCCGCGUGUAGCAGUGAAAUGCGUAGAUAUGCGGAGGAACACCGA
rnacentral:rRNA from 1 species